CACUGCCAUGGCUGGAGGUUUAAUAGCCAAUACAAACAGUAUGGGAGACAAAGGGCAUCCCUGACGAGGCCAUCACUGUAAAAUAAACGGUCUUGGCUUUGUAUGGUAUUGUUAGUUAGGAUCUCAGAGGCUGAAGUUUGUCUAUAAGAAUCAAAUUCAUUUAAGAAAUUAUGCCUAAUCCAAACCUUAGGACUAUUUCUAAAAGAUGUAUUUUAUUCUUAUUGAUCCAACUGCUGAUAUACAAUGUGUUGGUGCAGAACAAUGAGAUACGUACGGCUGAAGAAGGUGAUACAGUCAUCUUACCAUGUUCCGUCGAUCCCACUGCAGCAGGUGGGGAUGUAUUUUGGCGAAAUGAAGAAGAACACCAAGUGGUGGUUGAUAUCAUCAUGGGUAAAGAAGAUUUUAACGACCAGAGCCCAAAGUACAGAGGCAGAGUUAAAACUUUUACAACUGAGAUUGCAGAAGGAAACUUCUCCAUCUUGCUGAGUAAUGUGACGCUCUCAGACUCGGGAAUUUACACCUGUUACGCCCCUAAACCUGUUCAGAGAGUAGAACUGAGUGUUACAGGUCUGCGGAUUGAAGAACACGCUGAAAGACGGGGAAGAGCCGAAGUCUGCCGCCGUUUUCAUAUGAAAAUUAAAGGGGACUGAGGAGAUCACCAAUUUGUGUAGAGUUUAUGGAGAAUUGCAGAAUUUUAGGAGGGUAGAAAUGUUUAAAUGGCCUGGCGGUGCCCAUGGUGGCAUUAUAAUGACGGUAUAGAGGUGGAUUAAUUCAGGAAGGACACCAGUGAAGGCCUAGGUGUGAAAUGCACCGCCCGCCACUGGUAGGGAAUAAUGUUCAAAAGGGUCCUAUAUGUCAGGGGUUUUCAGAAUCAGAGACAGUGGGCCUUCUUUUUGACACAACAUACAUUUGUUAGCCGACUUUUAUCAACUGUGUCAACAUUAAAAAUAAAAAUUAUGACUUUUAUCUGAAUAAUAAGAUUGUUGUGUUUUCUGACCAUAUUUUUAUUAUUAUUAUUGCUCAAGGUCUGUAAGGUUUUAGUCAUGUGGUGUGAAGGUGGCGCUGCGCAGACCGAGAGGUGUAUGAAAAUAUCGCGAGAGCAGUUGUAGAGCAUAUUCCAGCACACCCUCUUGCGGUAUUUUGGCCUGUACGUGUGUGUGUGUGUUUUGUGUGUGUUUUCCAGUAAUCUAUUAGCUUUUAUUAACUGGAUAUCCAGUAAACUGCAUUUUUAAACAUCAGAUACACCUUUCGUUCUGAUGCACUAUGCUGCCCCCUGCUGUGCACUUUCAGUAGUUUGACAUGAUAAAAACAAAAUGCAACUCAACUGACUUUUUAACCAAGGUAAAUCUAUAUAUGCAAUACUUUAAUCUAGCUUUUUAAAUAAUGUUAUAUUUGUUCAAAGUGUAAUUAAAUGUGCUUCUAUUUUAUUUAUAUUUAUAAAAGCAUAUAACUUAGACCCUUAUAAUGUAAAGGCACAAUGCCAUGUCAUAUAUCAUGACCACCACUAGGGGAGCUGUUCUGCGUUAAAACGAGAAAUCUGUCAUAAAUGGUGUUUUAGGUCAUGUUUGAGAUCUAAAAUUCUUUAGUGCAAAUAUGUGAGGUUGCAGAAAAUCGAAUGAUUUGAUUCUUAUGUUUUGGUUUUGUUUAUUAAAAAAAGAGUUUACCUAUGUAUACGAUUACAGAAAUUCACAAAAGUCUUUGUAGACUUUUUAUCAGCCUCUUAACUGUACUAUAUGGUCACAUGCAUUAUUAUCAUUUCAGUUUAUACAGAUUUUGAAAGAAAGUGAACAGAUUAGCCAGAUAUUUCCUUUCACAGGACUAGUUAGCAUAAAAGAAGUGUUUGUUUUCAAAUUGUAUAUGUUUAUAAAGUGUUGUUUAGUAAACUUAAAUAUUAAUCUUUUAAUUAAACUUAAAUUUAAUCUAAAUUGGUUACAAGAAUAUAUGUUGUUGACUUUGUGGGGGUUUUGUUUUAUAUAUACAUAUUUUUUUAUGUUGAUUUUGCCAUAUGGUAGCAUGGUCAAUAUGUAUGAAGUAUUCAGUUUUAGGGUUAGCUUUAGCUUUAGGGUUUUUUCUAUUUAGAAUCACAUAACAUCAGGUGUUGCCAAUGGUCACAAAUUAAUGUCAAGAGGGACAGAUGUUUUUUAACCCCUCCUCUAAAGACUUCUGGUCUUUACAUCAGGAAAAGCUAAAAAAAAAAAAAAAAAAAGCUUGCGGUCAGAGCCACUUCCCCUCAGUCCUGCAGCUGUAAAUGUGUUCAGAUCUGAAGCUUCUUCACUGAUCAAGUUUCAUCAUGAAGAUCCUCAACAUUUACUUCUAUCUACUUGUGUGCUGUGGAGCUGCUGAAUGUUUCACAGAGAAGUCGGUCAGUUUGGGACAAAAUGUGACUUUAAAGUGUGAGGUGUCUGUAAGAGAGGUGUUCUGGUUCCUGAUGAAGCCGUCAGAAGCUCCAGUAUAUAUAUUACGCUCUUUUGCAAGCAGGUCACUGUCAGCAGAUUACAGAAACACAACCUUCAGCAAGAGAUUCUCACUGCAGUAUAACAGCAGUUUAUUUAUACACAAUAUCAGUACUAAUGAAUUAGGAGUCUAUUAUUGUAUUCAGACUCAAAAAGCUUCACCUCCAGACAUCAGCAGUGGAAUCAGACUUUAUAUCCAGAAUCAGAUUUUACAUCCAGAGUCAGCUGACAAUCAGACGAGGAAUCAGACGCCUGAUAAAACUGGAGAGAUCAGACUCUGGAGAAAUCUCUCCAUCAUAGUGGGAAUGGUGAUCAGUGUUGUGAUUCUUUCAGUCACAGUCUCCAUCACAAGCUGCCGUGGAAAAACCAAAUCUCCAAACUGUGAUGUGAAGCUUCUAGAAGUCACUGGAACACAGAGCUGGUUGCUGAAAGGAACUAAUGACAACAGCUACACUGUGGUGGAGUUUAUUCCAUUUCACCCUCUGAAGUAACACACACACACACACACACAUACAUGAUCAAACUAAACUUUUGUCCUUGUUUCUCAUAAUUAGCCUCUACAGCUGAGAGUGUCAUGGUUUAGAAGGGAAGAUGGCUGGAGCUUCACUGCUCAUCUUCUCUUGCUGUCUUUGUAGCUGUUUAACACCAGGCCAUGAUGUCAUUGUAAAUCUGCUGUUUACUGAACGAAGCGUGUCUUCUCUCAAUCAAAGUCCUACUUUCAAACCUGGACCUGUGUCACUGUGUCUCAUUAUAUUCAUCUGUAAGGAGUGUGUGUAUUAAACACAGUGUAGCAGUGACUCCUCUGCUGUUUCUAAUAAUAAACUUCCUGUUAUUAAAGACUGAGACUCUGUUGUGUGCUGAUGAUGCAAUUCUUCAUUAACAAGCUGAAGAUUUAACACCUUAUCUGUGUCUCUUUCUAAAAUAACUAAAUAAGGAGUUUCACAUCAACCAGACACCACAAAGCCAUCACUUAGUGAUGAACUGCAGUGUGUUCAUGUUCAUUGUGUAGGAGAUAUUGUGUGUUCAGUUGGGUUCAGUUUGUGGAUUCAGAAUGUAUCUCAGAUUAAUGCAGAUAAAUGAACACCUUCAUCAGGAGAUGCUGAAGUGUUACUGAUCAAUAAAACUAUUUUUUUGUUCACCCAACAUCAGACAGUGAACUGUGAGUCUUAACCUAACGUGAGUUCGACACCACGACCCUCAGCAAUCCCCAAAACCAGGGGAACUAAACUGAAGGGAUUUAUAAUUGUUUAUCAUUAAAUAAAUUCACGACAUUGGUGAAAUCUCUACUAAACUAUCUGAGGAUUUAUGAAGAUGUUUUUCUACACACAUGAAGUUCUUUCUGGUCUGUACAUCAGGAAGAGAUGAAAAAAGCUUGCGGUCAGAGCGAGUUGAACUGCCACUUCCCCUCAGUCCUGCAGCUGUAAAUGUGUUCAGAACUGAAGCUUCUUCACUGAUCAAGUUUCAUCAUGAAGAUCCUUCACAUUUACUUCUAUCUACUUGUGUGCUGUGGAGCUGCUGAAUGUUUCACAGAGAAGUCGGUCAGUUUGGGACAAAAUGUGACCCUAAAGUGUGAGGUGUCUGUAAGAGACGUGUUCUGGUUCCUGAUGAAGCCGUCAGAAGCUCCAGUAUAUAUAUUACGCUCUUUCUCUGACAAAUCUCUGUCAGCAGAUUACAGAAACACAACCUUCAGCAAGAGAUUCUCACUGCAGUAUAACAGCAGUUUAUUUAUACACAAUAUCAGUACUAAUGAAUUAGGAGUCUAUUAUUGUAUUCAGACUGGUUCACCUCCAGACAUCAGCAGUGGAAUCAGACUUUACAUCCAGAAUCAGAUUUUACAUCCAGAGUCAGCUGAGAAUCAGACGAGGAAGACUGAAGAGUGUCAGAAUCAGAUGUCUGAUAAAGCUGGAGAGAUCAGACUCUGGAGAAAUCUCUUCAUCAUAGUGGGAAUGGUGAUCGGUGUUGUGAUUCUUUCAGUCACAGUCUCCAUCACAAGCUGCUGUGGAAAAACCAAAUCUCCAAACUGUGAUGUGAAGCUUCUAGAAGUCACUGGAACACAGAGCUGGUUGCUGAAAGCAACUAAUGACAACAGCUACACUGUGGUGGAGUUCAUUCCAUUUCACCCUUUGAAGUAACACACACACACACAUACACACACAAUCUGUGGUUCCAGUCUGCACGCUAACACGUCUCACAUAUGUCUGAUGUGUACAGCUCAAUCUCCCGCUUCUGGUUCUCUGAGUCUGACCUUCUGCAGUCGAUUUCUCACCAGGGUUUGUCUACAUGAUCAAACUAAACUUUUGUCCUUGUUUCUCAUAAUUAGCCUCUACAGCUGAGAGUGUCAUGGUUUAGAAGGGAAGAUGGCUGGAGCUUCACUGCUCAUCUUCUCUUGCUGUCUUUGUAGCUGUUUAACACCAGGCCAUGAUGUCAUUGUAAAUCUGCUGUUUACUGAACGAAGCGUGUCUUCUCUCAAUCAAAGUCCUACUUUCAAACCUGGACCUGUGUCACUGUGUCUCAUUAUAUUCAUCUGUAAGGAGUGUGUGUAUUAAACACAGUGUAGCUGUGACUCCUCUGCUGUUUAUAAUAUUUGUUAUUAAAGACUGAGUCUCUGUUCUUCCACUAGGGGGCAGAAUGGAGUAAUAAUCUCAGGGCUGUAAACUCAACUACUGACAGAAUGUGCUGAUGAUGUAUUUUUUCCUUAACAAGCUGAAGGUUUAACACUGUAACCUUGUCUCUGUGUUACUGAUCAAUAAAACUAUUUUAUAAAGUACUUUGGGGUCAUCUGAGUCAAAAAGAUCACAGGACAAAUCCUGUUCAGAGAUUUUAUACAGUAGUUCCCAUGUGUAAUUUAAAUGAAUUUCACUUUAAAUGUAAAUUAUUGUAAGAGCUGAGUAUCACACAAAUGGCCUGGUGAUACUGUCGUUUACCUGGAUGUCCUUAAAUGGUAAUCACGGUCACAUACACCUUGGCUUGGUUUUGUUAUAAGUGAUAUCACCCAAAUGGUCGGUCACCCAAAUACUAAAUGUUAAUCAUGUAUACCCUUUGUUCAGUGAUUGUCCUUGAUGUCU